AUUGAACGCUGGCGGCAGGCUUAACACAUGCAAGUCGAGCGAGCGGCGGACGGGUGAGUAAUGUCUGGGAAACUGCCUGAUGGAGGGGGAUAACUACUGGAAACGGUAGCUAAUACCGCAUACCAUCGGAUGUGCCCAGAUGGGAUUAGCUAGUAGGUGGGGUAAAGGCUCACCUAGGCGACGAUCCCUAGCUGGUCUGAGAGGAUGACCAGCCACACUGGAACUGAGAACCGGUCCAGACUCGCACGUGGGGCAGCAGGGGGUAAUAUUGCACAAUGGGCGCAAGCCUGAUGCAGCCACGCCGGGUGUAUGAAGAAGGCCUUCGGGUUGUAUAGUACUUUCAGCGGGGAGGCGUUACCGGCAGAAGAAGCACCGGCUAACUCCUUGCCACCCGCGGCGUUAAUU
rnacentral:rRNA from 1 species